UUGUAUGUGGAAAAGGAAGUGGUAAUAAAAAAAGGGUAAAAAAGAGAAAGAAAGAAUGAUUAUUACCAAUAGUAACCAACACAAAGAGAUUAGAAAUGUGAAAGGGAAAUGAAAGGAGGGCUAGAAAUGGAACUACAAAAUUUAGUUUUUUUCUUUUAAUUUAAUUAUUAUAUAUAAUUGAUUAUAAAAGAGGGGCAAAAAGAGAAAGAAAAAAAAGGGUUUUUGAGAUAGUUGGGGUGUGAUGAUGGUUUAGAAGCCAAUCCAACCCAUCAUUGCGAAUCUUGGGACGGCCUUAGCCCACCAUCAUUUUACAAGCCCUAGCCAUAAGUCCCAUAAUUGUCCCUCUCUUAACCCCAUAAAUGUUGGAUUUUAUGACCGAAAUACCCUUCUUUAAUUCCCCUAUUUACCCCUCUCCACCCAUCAUGCCAUUUCCCAAUCAUCUUCAUCGUUCUUAUACAAACCAAACCUAAAUAUAUUUUCUUUUUAUUUUUAAAAUAUUUAUUUAUGAAAAAAUAAAAAAUAAAAAGAAAUGAUAUAUUUUGAGGUUCUUGCUAUAACCGGCCGCCUUCCAUGCUUACACUUGCAUGAUUGUUGUGUCAGAAAGAGGAGGGGCAUGUCUCAUGUCUAAUGUCUCAAUGUCUUUUAUUUAUUUUUAUUUUUUAUUUUUUUGUUUUGGGUUUUUCUCUCUCUCUUGAGCUAUGACUCUAUAAAUUAACGGCCUCUUUGUUUCAUUUGUCCCUCACUUGUUCCCUUUGUGCCUUUCUUUCUUCUUCUCCUUCGUCUUCUGCCUCUGCUUCUGUUACGAAAUCCAGAUUGUUUUUGUUUACUUCUCUCUGCCCAACUUCAAAAGGUGAUCUUUUUUGAAAAGAUAAAGAAAAAACACAGCAGACCCACUUUCUCUCUCUUCUCUCUCUACAUACAUUUUCUUUUUUUUAUAUUAAUGUUUGGUUUCUUCUUCUGCUUCUCUUCUUGCUUCCCCUUUCACCAAGAAAGGUCGACAUACCCUUGUGCUGUGGGGUACUUCCUUUGUUUUCUUCUUCUUUUUGUUCUUGUUCUUCUUAAUUCUAAUUUCUUCUUCUUCUUCUCUUGUGUUUUGAAGGCAUUAAUGUCCCGAUUUCCUCUGUUUCUGUGUUGUUCCUUGCAGUUCAGGGGAUGGUUGAAAAGCUUUUAAAAUUUGAAGCCUUUUAUGGUGUUUUAGUUUAGCUGCUUAUAAGUGGCUUAAUCUUACUUUAAUUAUCCUUUUCUUUCAUAUUUGGGCAACCCAAAGAACAACCCAUUUCUGUCUCUUUCUCUCACAAUGAGUGUGGUUUUGCUGCUCUCUGUCUCUUUCUCUUCCAACUCUCAUUAUUACAUAUGGCUAAGGCCAGAGCUUCUUCUUCUCAAUCACUGCUGGAUUUAUCAGUCUCUAUAAAUCAAACUCAUCCUUUUUUGAAUAUCAAAUUCAAAACCCAUCUCAGCCUUCAACUCGUAUCCAACUUGAAGGGAAGUGUUUUUUGGAAUUUGGAAGAAGAAUUGAUUGAUAUAUAGAUAUAUUAUAUCUAUAAUCAAUCAAAUUGAUCGAGUCGUGAAAU